GACGAACGCUGGCGGCGUGCUUAACACAUGCAAGUCGAACGAAGUGGCGAACGGGUGAGUAACGCGUAAUCAACCUGCCAUUCAGAGGGGGACAACAGUAGGAAACGACUGCUAAUACCGCAUACUGAAGGAGGGGAUUGCGUUUGAUUAGCUAGUUGGAGGGGUAACGGCCCACCAAGGCGCAGGUCAGUAGCCGGUCUGGAGAGGUUAACGGCCCAAUUGUGACUGAGACCCGGCCCAAACUCCUACGGGAGGCAGCAGUGGGGAAUCGUCCGCAAUGGACGAAAGUCUGACGGAGCAACGCCGCGUGAGUGAUGACGGCCUUCGGGUUGUAAAGCUCUUUUAAUCGGUACGCGGUACCGGAAUAGAAAGCCACGGCUAACUACGUGCCAGCAGCCGCGGUAAUAC
rnacentral:rRNA from 1 species